rnacentral:rRNA from 1 species
GACGAACGCUGGCGGCGUGCUUAACACAUGCAAGUCGAGCGAUGAACCGGUUUCGGCCGGGGAUUAGUGGCGAACGGGUGAGUAACACGUGGGCAAUCUGCCCUGCACUCUGGGAUAAGCCCGGGAAACUGGGUCUAAUACCGGAUACGACACUCCGAGGCAUCUUGGGGUGUGGAAAGUUCCGGCGGUGCAGGAUGAGCCCGCGGCCUAUCAGCUUGUUGGUGGGGUAAUGGCCUACCAAGGCGACGACGGGUAGCCGGCCUGAGAGGGUGACCGGCCACACUGGGACUGAGACACGGCCCAGACUCCUACGGGAGGCAGCAGUGGGGAAUAUUGCACAAUGGGCGAAAGCCUGAUGCAGCGACGCCGCGUGAGGGAUGACGGCCUUCGGGUUGUAAACCUCUUUCAGCAGGGAAGAAGCGAAAGUGACGGUACCUGCAGAAGAAGCACCGGCUAACUACGUG